AACUUUCAGCAAUGGAUUUCUUGGCUCUCGCAUCGAUGAAGAACGCAGCGAAAUGUGAUACGUAAUGUGAAUUGCAGACUCAGUGAAUCAUCGAAUCUUUGAACGCAUCUUGCGCUCUCUGGUAUUCCGGAGAGCAUGUCUGUCUGAGUGUUGUGAAUUCUCAUCUCCGGUUUUCUUUGAUUAGUUGGCCGUGGGGAUGGAGAUGGUCGUUGCCGUGUUUUACAUGGCUGGACUGAAAUUGAAGAGGCGACGCAUGAGGCGGCCUGAUCCAAUUAGUAACUAGCCAAUUGGAGACGCAACAUAUGGAGCCCUUUAUAUUACUGUUUGAAAAAUCGACCUCAGAUCAGGCAGGACUACCCGCUGAACUUAAGCAUAUCAAUAAGCGGAGGCU
rnacentral:misc_RNA from 1 species